AGGGCGUACGGCGAAUGCCUUGCCACUCGAAACUGAAGAAGGACGCGCCAAACUGCGAAAAGCUCCGUGAAGCUGUAAGGAAGCGAAGAAGCGGAGGUGUCCGAAUGGGGGAACCCGGCAGCAGACAUGAGCUGUCAUCUGCAGGUGAAUACAUGGCCUGCAAGAGAGGUACCCGGCGAACUGAAACAUCUAAGUAGCCGGAGGAAAAGAAAACAACAGUGAUUCCCUGAGUAGCGGCGAGCGAAAGGGGAGAAGCCCAAACCGGUUGAAGGACCGGGGUUGAAGGACCAUGACAUGGCAAGAACGAGGAUAGGAGAACGGGAUCGAAAGCCCGGCCGAAGAAGGUGAAAGCCCUGUAACCGAAAUCCGAGUAAAGCCUAAUGGGAUCCUGAGUACGGCGAGACACGAGAAAUCUUGUCGGAAGCAGGCGGGACCAUCCGCCAAGGCUAAAUAUAAACGAGUGAGCGAUAGUGAACCAGUACCGUGAGGGAAAGGUGAAAAGAACCGCGGGAGCGGAGUGAAAGAGAACCUGAAACCGUAUGCCUACAAGAAGUCAGAGCCCGUUAAGGGGUGAUGGCGUGCCUUUUGUAGAAUGAACCGGCGAGUUGCGACAGACUGCGAGGUUAAGGAGGAAAGACCGGAGCCGAAGCGAAAGCGAGUCUUAAGAGGGCGAAAGUAGGAUGUUGCAGACCCGAAACCGGGUGAUCUAGCCAUGAGCAGGUUGAAGUUGAGGUGAAACUCAAUGGAGGACCGAACCGACUACCGUUGAAAAGUUAGCGGAUGACUUGUGGCUAGGGGAGAAAUUCCAAUCGAACCCGGAGAUAGCUGGUUCUCCCCGAAAUAGCUUUAGGGCUAGCGUCGGAAAGAACCUUAGUGAAGGUAGAGCACUGAAUGUGUGAUGGCCCCAUCCCGGGGUACUGAAUACAAUCAAACUGCGAAUGUCAUUAAGGAUGUCCGGCAGUCAGACUGUGAGUGAUAAGGUCCAUGGUCAAGAGGGAAACAGCCCAGACCGCCAGUUAAGGUCCCAAAAUACAGGCUAAGUGGAAAAGGAUGUGGGGAUGCCCAGACAACUAGGAGGUUGGCUCAGAAGCAGCCAUCCUUUCAAAGAGUGCGUAACAGCUCACUAGUCGAGUGACCCUGCGCCGAAAAUGUACCGGGGCUAAGCCUGAUACCGAAACUGCGGAUUGUAGGAAACUAUAGUGGUAGGGGAGCGUUGUAUACGAGCAGAAGCCGUACCGUGAGGAGCGGUGGAUUGUAUAGAAGUGAGAAUGCCGGUGUGAGUAGCGAGAUGUAGGUGAGAAUCCUACACACCGAAAGCCCAAGGAUUCCAGGGGAAGGUUCGUCCGCCCUGGGUAAGUCGGGACCUAACGCGAGGCCGAAAGGCGUAGUGGAUGGAAAGCAGGCGAAAGAUUCCUGCACCCGUAUAUGGAGCGAAGGAGUGACGGAGACGGAUAGUGUGACCCUCUUAAUGGAUUGAGGGCGAAGCGAAGCGGCUGGUUACCAGGCAAAUCCGGUAACCAUAAGGCUAGAGCGUGACAGGUAAGCGAAAUCUUAGGAAAGUAGCGAAGCACAUGAUGACGGCUUCCAGGAAAAGCUUCUGGCAAUGCAUAUGCGGCCCGUACCACAAACCGACACAGGUGGGCAGGGAGAGAAUCCCGAGGUGAGCGAGAGAACUGUUGCCAAGGAACUCGGCAAAAUGACUCCGUAAGUUAGCGAGAAGGAGUGCUUAAGCAAUUAAGCCGCAGUGAAGAGGCCCAAGCGACUGUUUAACUAAAACACAGCUCUCUGCGAAGUCGCAAGACGAAGUAUAGGGGGUGACACCUGCCCGGUGCUGGAAGGUUAAGAGGAUCUGUUAAGAGCGAUCUGAAGCAGUGAUCCGAAGCCCCAGUGACCGGCGGCCGUAACUAUAACGGUCCUAAGGUAGCGAAAUUCCUUGUCAGGUAAGUUCUGACCCGCACGAAAGGUGUAACGAUUUGGGCGCUGUCUCGGCAGCAGACUCGGUGAAAUCUUAGUACCUGUGAAAAUGCAGGUUACCCGCAACUAGACGGAAAGACCCCAUGGAGCUUUACUGCAGCCUGAUAUUGAAUUCUGGUCAUACAUGUACAGGAUAGGUGGGAGACAAAGAGACGUGCACGCCAGUGUACGAGGAGUCGACGUUGGGAUACCACUCUUGUGUGACCGGGGUUCUAACCUGGUAUCGAGAACAGGUACGGGGAGAGUGUCAGGUGGGCAGUUUGACUGGGGCGGUCGCCUCCCAAAGAGUAACGGAGGCGCCCAAAGGUACGCUCAGAUUGGAUGGAAACCAAUCGUCGAGUGCAAUUGCAGAAGCGUGCUUGACUGUGAGACAGACAAGUCGAACAGGGACGAAAGUCGGGAAUAGUGAUCCGGCGGUGCCGAAUGGAAGGGCCGUCGCUCAACGGAUAAAAGCUACCCUGG
rnacentral:rRNA from 1 species